rnacentral:rRNA from 1 species
GAUGAACGCUGGCGGCAUGCCUAAUACAUGCAAGUCGAACGGACCAUUUCGGUGGUAAGUGGCGAACGGGUGAGUAACACGUAGGUAACAUAUCCAUACGACGAGGAUAACGGCUGGAAACGGCUGCUAAGACUGGAUAGGAAUAUAGGAGGCAUCUUUAAUAUUUUAAAGGACCUUAGGGUACGCGUAUGGAGUGGCCUGCGGCGCAUUAGCUAGUUGGAGUGGUAAAGGCACCCCAAGGCAAUGAUGCGUAGCCGGACUGAGAGGUUGACCGGCCACAUUGGGACUGAGACACGGCCCAGACUCCUACGGGAGGCAGCAGUAGGGAAUUUUCGGCAAUGGAGGGAACUCUGACCGAGCAAUGCCGCGUGAAUGAAGAAGUACUUCGGUAUGUAAAGUUCUUUUAUUGGGGAAGAACGGCUAGUGGAAAAGCUAGAGUGACGGUACCCAUUGAAUAAGCCCCGGCUAACUAUGUGCCAGCAGCCGCGGUAAUACAUAGGGGGCAAGCGUUAUCCGGAAUUAUUGGGCAUAAAGGGUGCGUAGGCGGCAAGUUAAGUUUAAGGUAUAAGCUCAUGGCUCAACCAUGGGAGGCUUUAGAAACUGGCUAGCUAGAGUGCAGUAGAGGCAAGUGGAAUUCCAUGUGUAGCGGUAAAAUGCGUAAAUAUAUGGAGGAACACCAGUAGCGAAAGCGGCUUGCUGGGCUGUAACUGACGCUGAGGCACGAAAGCGUGGGGAGCAAACAGG